GAGGUGUCGGUCGUGGGGAGAGGUUGAAUGCUGCCCAAAGAGAGAGGAUGCGCUUGUUAACCACGGCAGCAUUUGAUCGAGGGAAAGGUGAAGAUACUUUUGGUCAAAGGGAUGAAGAUUGGCAACUCUACAAGCUAAUGAGUAGAGAUAAUGAUGACGACGACGAUGAUGAGCCAGAUCAGGAUGAAACGGAGUUGGCUCGCAUCUCCUCUAGGCUUCAGGUCAGUACAUUUCCUAUAAUGAGUAAAGAUAAUGAUGACGACGACGAUGAUGAGCCAGAUCAGGAUGAAGUUGAGUUGGCUCGAAUCUCCUCUAGGCUUCAGG
rnacentral:lncRNA from 1 species